rnacentral:rRNA from 1 species
AUUGAACGCUGGCGGCAGGCCUAACACAUGCAAGUCGAGCGGGGUUUUCGGACCUAGCGGCGGACGGGUGAGUAAUGCGUAGGAAGCUACCCGAUAGAGGGGGAUACCAGUUGGAAACGACUGUUAAUACCGCAUAAUGUCUACGGACCAAAGUGUGGGACCUUCGGGCCACAUGCUAUCGGAUGCGCCUACGUGGGAUUAGCUAGUUGGUGAGGUAAUGGCUGACCAAGGCGACGAUCCCUAGCUGGUUUGAGAGGAUGAUCAGCCACACGGGAACUGAGACACGGUCCAGACUCCUACGGGAUGCAGAAGUGGGGAAUAUUGGACAAUGGGCGCAAGCCUGAUCCAGCCAUGCCGCGUGUGUGAAGAAGGCCUUCGGGUUGUAAAGCACUUUCAGUAGGGAGGAAGCGUUGUGUGUUAAUAGUACACAGCGUUGACGUUACCUACAGAAGAAGCACCGGCUAACUCUGUGCCAGCCGCCGCAGUAAAAC